rnacentral:rRNA from 1 species
AAUUCCGGUGAAGAUGCCGGAUACCUGCGACAGGACGGAAAGACCCCAUGGAGCUUUACUGUAGCUUGACAUUGGGUCUUGGUACUACAUGUACAGGAUAGGUGGGAGGCUUUGAAACCAGGACGCCAGUUUUGGCGGAGCCAGCCUUGGGAUACCACCCUUGUAGUACUGGGACUCUAACCAUAGGCCAUGAAUCUGGUCUUGGGACACUGUCAGGUGGGCAGUUUGACUGGGGCGGUCGCCUCCCAAAAGGUAACGGAGGCGCUCAAAGGUUCUCUCAGUACGG